rnacentral:rRNA from 1 species
ACUGAUCGGCCACAUUGGGACUGAGACACGGCCCAAAUUCCUACGGGAGGCUGCAGUAGGAAUCUUCCACAAUGGGCGAAAGCCUGAUGGAGCAACGCCGCGUGUGUGAUGAAGGCUUUCGGGUCGUAAAGCACUGUUGUAUGGGAAGAAAAGUUAAGGUAGGGAAUGACCUUAGCCUGACGGUACCAUACCAGAAAGGGACGGCUAAAUACGUGCCAGCAGCCGCGGUAAUACGUAUGUCCCGAGCGUUAUCCGGAUUUAUUGGGCGUAAAGCGAGCGCAGACGGUUGGUUAAGUCUGAUGUGAAAGCCCGGAGCUCAACUCCGGAAAGGCAUUGGAAACUGGUUAACUUGAGUGCAGUAGAGGUAAGUGGAACUCCAUGUGUAGCGGUGGAAUGCGUAGAUAUAUGGAAGAACACCAGCGGCGAAGGCGGCUUACUGGACUGUAACUGACGUUGAGGCUCGAAAGUGUGGGUAGCAAACAGGAUUAGAUACCCUGGUAGUCCACACCGUAAACGAUGAACACUAGGUGUUAGGAGGUUUCCGCCUCUUAGUGCCGAAGCUAACGCAUUAAGUGUUCCGCCUGGGGAGUACGACCGCAAGGUUGAAACUCAAAGGAAUUGACGGGGACCCGCACAAGCGGUGGAGCAUGUGGUUUAAUUCGAAGCAACGCGAAGAACCUUACCAGGUCUUGACAUCCUUUGAAGCUUUUAGAAAUAGAAGUGUUCUCUUCGGAGACAAAGUGACAGGUGGUGCAUGGUCGUCGUCAGCUCGUGUCGUGAGAUGUUGGGUUAAGUCCCGCAACGAGCGCAACCCUUAUUGUUAGUUGCCAGCAUUCAGAUGGGCACUCUAGCGAGACUGCCGGUGACAAACCGGAGGAAGGCGGGGACGACGUCAGAUCAUCAUGCCCCUUAUGACCUGGGCUACACACGUGCUACAAUGGCGUAUACAACGAGUUGCCAACCUGCGAAGGUGAGCUAAUCUCUUAAAGUACGUCUCAGUUCGGACUGCAGUCUGCAACUCGACUGCACGAAGUCGGAAUCGCUAGUAAUCGCGGAUCAGCACGCCGCGGUGAAUACGUUCCCGGGUCUUGUACACACCGCCCGUCACACCAUGGAAGUUUGUAAUGCCCAAAGCCGGUGGCCUAACCGUAAGGAGGGAACCGUCUAAGGCAGAC